UUAAAGUCCAUAAACUCUGUUCGAUUUCAUCCAACGUUUCCCUCUCUCGACUCAUAUUGUCCUACUCACGUGGCAACAACGACAAUGCAGGCAAUGGCAAGAUAGCUACACUCCGUUAGGUGGUUAGCAUGCUAACGUUAGCUAGCUAGCUACUCUCCCAAUGUCUCUCACUCGUUGUCCGUUCCAGGAAUAUGGGCCGGUGCUCACAUGAAAAUACAUCUCAGCGGUGCCUCCAAAUUUGUUACCCUUCCAAUGAGCUUAUCAUAUAAACUACAACGCGAAAAGUACGGUUUACUCCACUUUUUAUCAUGUCAGCACAGGUAGAUGAACCUCCUUCUUAUUAGCUCUUCCACUCCCAAAAACCCAGCUGAGCCAGCCUCCACUGUUAUUGUGAACAGCAGGGGUCUCGGGCUCAGCCACCGGCCGGCUGCCAGUCUGGCACUGAGAAGUGGCCUCGGAGUGUUCCGGCUUGGUGAUGGACAUCAUAGCAGGAUGCUCAACAUAUCUAAGUCGGACAUCUGUAAUAAGUGGGAGAAGUCAGGCCACUCUGCUCAUGUCACCAUACAGAACAAUUACUGGCUGACAGUGUUCACAGACCAUCAGGAUGUCGGUUCCUUUGUCUGGGGUAGAGCUGCUCAGAGUGUGUACAGUGCUCCAGGACUGUGAGGCACAGCUGUCAGUGCUGGGUCACAUCAUGCCCGACACCUACAGGGGUCGUCCAGAAGCUGAUAAGCCGACAUUGGACAGGUCCUUGAACAGCAGAAAGGAGCAGAGCAGAACCUGAAAGCAGCCCGUCAGUUUGAGAGAGAGUCUGGGAGACUGUCAGAUGCCACCCGUGAGCUGCACAGAUCCCAGAAGGAACUGAACCGCACACUAGAGGAGAACCCACUGUCCCCUGACAACCUGGCCAAGGUGCAGAGAGACAGUCAGUUUGUGGCUCACGUGAUUGCUGAUGUGUUGGCAGAGCUGCAAGAGAAAGGGACCUUUCACAGCUUGCUUUUCGCUGUGGAAGAAGAGAAAAGAAGGAAGGCCAACCUCCAGGACAUAAUAAUCAGGUCAGGUUAUGGUCAAUAUGAAUAUGUAGGCUAAUAAUUCAUUGUCUGUGCAGGCAAUAGUCAAAUUCUUUCAAAACCCACACAAAGAGGAGGCUGCUGAGGGGAGGGUGGCUUGUAAUAAUAUCUGUAAUGUUGUAAAUGGAAUGGUAUCAAACGCAUGGAUGUGUAUGAUACCGUUCCAGCCAUUUCUAUGAGCCUGUUUUAUUUUGAUUGAAAACAGAGCUAUAAUUUGUCUUUGCUUAUUAUAGGACUUACAUACAGUGUAUGCCUUAAAAUUCAAUCUAAAAAAAGGAUUACAUUUGAUGUUUUUUCCGAUAGAUCUACACAACCUACUCCACAUUUUCAAAGUGAAAGAAAGUUAUAGAACAUUUUCCCAAAAAAUAAAUAUGUAGUGAGGGCCAG